AGCUUAAAGCAAGGACCGUUUUGUCUUGGGAUCUGGAUGUGCCGCUACAACCCAAGUCUCCAGCCUUUACAGUCCCUCCAUCUCAGGGCAUGGCGGUGCCCCCGGCCAGCCUCUGGUGUGAUAGAAGUGCUGGUUGCUUGGUAACAGGAUUGGGGAUUGGACUGAGCUGCCAGCAAACUCCUCGGGGGCACGAGACAUUAAACAGCACAAGUGUCUGAUCGAUCGAUGCAGCCCGCUGUCACUUCCCAUGGAUGAAGAUCUGCAUCAGUAUACAUCUUCAUGGGAAGGUUUCCUUUCAUUUCUGUUCCCCGGAUCUGGUAUGCUCAGGGAAACUAAUAAAACGGUAAUGGAUUUCUUGCCAUACAUUCUUGCUUGCUGGAGCUUUAAAUCUGUCUGCAGCUCAUAAAGCCAAAAAAGUUAUUUUUUAACAACUUCAUUUACAUCAACAGCAGUAAUAAGGAUGUGGAAGUGGAGACAAUGGAAAUCCAUUUUUAUUACUAUUGAAUCUGCGUCAGAAACAAUUCACCAUGAUGAUCUAAACUCAUAAACGGCCUUGUGUGUGUGUCACUGUCAACUUUCUGUACUCUGCUUUCCCUUCUGUUUACAGGAGGAUGACUCCAAAACAAGAGCGGCAUCCAACCCAGGCGUCUCACACAAAAGGCAAGGAGAUCAAACGACAGCAGAGUUGGUGAAUGACAGCCGGGUUGUGGGGUAUGACAACAGGGGUUAUUAACAAGAUGGCAGGUGUAUUCAGCUCCUCUUUCACCCACAGUCAAUGUGCCCACACAAAAGACACAGAAACUAAACUACUGAAAUACAGUGCCA